UACGUAGGGUGCGAGCGUUGUCCGGAAUUAUUGGGCGUAAAGAGCUCGUAGGCGGUGUGUCACGUCGUUCGUGAAAACCUGCAGCUUAACUGUGGGCGUGCGGUCGAUACGGGCAUCACUGGAGUUCGGCAGGGGAGACUGGAAUUCCUGGUGUAGCGGUGAAAUGCGCAGAUAUCGGGAGGAACACCGGUGGCGAAGGCGGCGACCUGGGUAGAUACUGACGCUGAGGUGCGAAAGCGUGGGGAGCAAACAGG
rnacentral:rRNA from 1 species